UGAAUUGAAUCAGGAGAGUACAACUAGUGAACGCAAAAACGCAAUUCAAAUCGACUUGUAGCAUCUGAAAGGUGAAGCUUCACGCUUCAAAAUACUUUUUUUUACAACUCUCUACCUCAAUUUUUCGAGCAGUUAUGAGUUUCUGAAAUUGGACGUUUUUCGGAGCAAAAACAGGGUGGCCCGCUAAUUGUUGUGCUUAGUGUAUAUGCG
rnacentral:misc_RNA from 1 species